rnacentral:rRNA from 1 species
UACGAAGGGUGCAAGCGUUAAUCGGAAUUACUGGGCGUAAAGCGUGCGUAGGCGGUUGGCUAAGUCAGAUGUGAAAGCCCUGGGCUCAACCUGGGAAUGGCAUUUGAAACUGGCCGGCUAGAGUGUGAUAGAGGAUGGCGGAAUUCCCGGUGUAGCGGUGAAAUGCGUAGAAAUCGGGAGGAACAUCCGUGGCGAAGGCGGCCAUCUGGAUCAACACUGACGCUGAGGCACGAAAGCGUGGGGAGCAAACAGG